UACAGAGGUCUCAAGCGUUUGUUCGGAUUCAUUGGGCGUAAAGGGUGUGUAGGUGGCGCGCUAAGUCGGGUGUGAAAUUUCGGAGCUUAACUCCGAAACUGCACUUGAUACUGCCUUGCUUGAGUACUGGAGAGGAGAUUGGAAUUUACGGUGUAGCAGUGAAAUGCGUAGAUAUCGUAAGGAAGACCAGUGGCGAAGGCGAAUCUCUGGACAGUUACUGACACUGAGGCACGAAGGCCAGGGGAGCAAACGGG
rnacentral:rRNA from 1 species